UAACAUUCUUAACAAACAGCUUCCCACUAUUCAACUAAGGGAUUUUCUUUCAUUCCCACUCAUGUGACUUUUCUUCUUGUCCACUCAUCUAUAUCAACAUGGUGUUCACAUGUCAAGCCACAAGUAAAAUAAUCUCAAAUGUUACUCCUAAAAAUGUGAACAAGAGGCCAGGCACGGUGGCUCACGCCUGUAAUUCCAGCACUUCGGGAGGCCGAGGCGUGCGGAUCACGAGGUGCGGGAAUGCAAGGAGUUACAGAGAAGACACGGAAGCCAGUAAAGAAAAGCAAACAUGAAUCAGGUUGCCAUCUUUGGUCAACAUGAAAAAAACAUCUCCUUAAUGUGUAUAAUGGUGAUACCUGUGAUAUAAGCCAUUGCCCACGGGCUACCAUUUCAUUAAGAUGUAAUGCUAUGAAUAUUUUCCACUCAUCUAAAAUAGAAGAAAAAGCUUUUAUUGUUUAAACCUAAAAAAGAAUCAACCGAAACAGAACAUUUCCCUAGUCAUCUUAAAGAAGAAAUGCUUUUUCAGUCGAGUUUUAGCCAGGCAGUUUCUAAUCACAAAACUAAAGAUAUAUGUGUUUAUGCUCAGACCCUACUGACUUCAAAAGAAAAAAAAAUGCUAAAAUAGCUUAUGUACUAGCACAAGUCAACCAAAAGACAUGCAGCAAAAUCGUUAUACAGUUGUAAUCUGUAAAACAUGUUAUGAUCCUCCAGCAUAGAAAAGAGGAUAAUGUCAAACCUACAAUUCUGGUCAAAUACCCAAAAAUUCGUACAAUUAAACUCAAAGGGCAAAUCUUAGGCAUAACAA